rnacentral:hammerhead_ribozyme from 1 species
AUUCAGCUGACGAGUCCUAAACAGGACGAAACGCGCGUCCUGGAU